AGUGAACGCUGGCGGUAGGCCUAACACAUGCAAGUCGAACGGCAGCACAGUAAGAGCUUGCUCUUACGGGUGGCGAGUGGCGGACGGGUGAGGAAUACAUCGGAAUCUACUUUUUCGUGGGGGAUAACGUAGGGAAACUUACGCUAAUACCGCAUACGACCUACGGGUGAAAGCAGGGGAUCUUCGGACCUUGCGCGAUUGAAUGAGCCGAUGUCGGAUUAGCUAGUUGGCGGGGUAAAGGCCCACCAAGGCGACGAUCCGUAGCUGGGCUGAGAGGAUGAUCAGCCACACUGGAACUGAGACACGGUCCAGACUCCUACGGGAGGCAGCAGUGGGGAAUAUUGGACAAUGGGAGCAAGCCUGAUCCAGCCAUACCGCGUGGGUGAAGAAGGCCUUCGGGUUGUAAAGCCCUUUUGUUGGGAAAGAAAAGCAGCAGGUUAAUACCCCGCUGUUCUGACGGUACCCAAAGAAUAAGCACCGGCUAACUUCGUG
rnacentral:rRNA from 1 species